GCUUCUCUGUCUCUGCUUUUCGCUACAGAGGAAAAUAAACGGUAGCUCAAAACAACUCCCGAUCGAACACGAAAACGAGAACAAAUGAACGCCAUGGCGAUAUUCACCAGAGCUAGCAAGCUACAUGGAGUAUCUAUCUAUAGGAGGCUGCCAUGACACUUGGCUUCCUGCGUUUGGAUUGGCGAGUAGCAGACUGACGUCAUGAUUUAUGAUCCAAUCAGCGGGUUGAGACUGGUUGGAUGCAGGAUGCCCUUCCUGACACGACCCUCCUGUUUGAUCCUAGCUUGGGACCAGUACUGAGAGUGAAGUCUUCAGUGGCAGUGUUAACUUCCUGUCCAGGAAGCAAACCUUGGCCAUGGCAAUGAGAGUGUGGCUUCUAGACCACCAGAAGUUAAUUGCUGAUACAUUAAUAGAUAAAGCAAGUUACAGAGUUGCUUCCAAACAGAGAAGAAAUAACCCUCUAAAUGUAAAUGUUUGUCUUAUAUCAGUCAUUUAUUUUGAACAAUAAGAUAUAUCAAAUUGGUUUGUGUAAUGUACAGUUUGCAAAGUUUAAGUACAGCGAUUGUACCACAACGGCUUUAACAGUUUAAUGUCCCCAAGGCACUGCAUACAAUGAAUGACAAAGGACAUGUAUAUAAUUUUAUAAUUUAAUUUAUUAAAAAAUUAAAAAGUACAAUGAAAAAACUAUAGCUUAUUGAAAACAACAUAUGAAUUUAGUCCUACACAAAGCUUAAAGCUGCUACAAUCCUCUUUACUUACAGAGCUGGAGCACAGAAGAGAAGUUUUCUCUGGGCUUUGCUAAUAUUUUUAAGCUGCCAGACCUGCAGUUCUUUAAACAACAUUGUUUUUUUUUUGUGCAUU